CUUCUGUUUGCGGGAGUUUGGUGGUCGUGUGCCUGUUCAGGACGCUGUUUUCCGACAAAAGCCGCGGCAAGACUUGUUCUCAGCGGAGUCCUCCGCUACCAAAGAAUGCCAUCCACUAGAGGAUAUAGUGGGCAGACUUGCUGUGUUCCUGGCUGUGACAAUAAUACAUUGAAGAACAGUGGACUGUCUUGGCACACAUUUCCAAGUGAUCCAGCCAUGAAAAAAAUAUGGCUGGAAAGAAUCAACAGAAAAGGCCAUAGAGGGAAAUACGCGCUUUGGAAACCAAAGGCCAGCAACAGGGUUUGUGGGGCUCAUUUCAACAUAACUGGACGAAGGGCGUAUGGGGACACCGUACCGAGGUUUUUUCCGUCCAAAACCUACCCCCCAUGGACAAGGCAACCAACCUGCUCUGCUAAGAGACGGAAGCACCAGAAUGAGCCUACCAGUGCGCAAGUUUGUGAGGAUCUACCUUCUCGGCCAGUGUUCCUGCCUGAAAUGGAUGUGGCUAGUGUGGUGACUGUGAGCUUGCCAGG